rnacentral:lncRNA from 1 species
AACGGCCCGUUUGGUAGCCAUAUUUAAAGUUGAACCUUGAAAAUUGGCACCACUUCUGCAUGCAACCUCUUCGUCUUCUACCCCCGGAAAUCCAUUUUUCUCCUCCUUCUCUCUAGAAACCACCAACUUCUCUCUAGAUUUCUGACCUCUUCUUCUCCUUCGAUCACCCCACUUUUUUUAGAUUAAAUCUUCCCGGCGUCAAGACUUUCCAAUUUGCACCGAUCAGAAUCUGGUUUGGAGCACUUUGGACUCUUGAAGCCUUAAGAGUGACCACUUGAAGAACCUAGAAGCUUAGCUUGGAUCAUAAGGUAAGGGAAGCUUAUAAAUUUAAUUAUGAUUAUUUUGUAUGCAUGAUU